UGGGGAAUUUUGGACAAUGGGCGAAAGCCUGAUCCAGCAAUGCCGCGUGUGUGAAGAAGGCCUUCGGGUUGUAAAGCACUUUUGUCCGGAAAGGAAUCCUUGGCUCUAAUACAGUCGGGGGAUGACGGUACCGGAAGAAUAAGCACCGGCUAACUACGUGCCAGCAGCCGCGGUAAUACGUAGGGUGCAAGCGUUAAUCGGAAUUACUGGGCGUAAAGCGUGCGCAGGCGGUUUGCUAAGACCGAUGUGAAAUCCCCGGGCUCAACCUGGGAACUGCAUUGGUGACUGGCAGGCUAGAGUAUGGCAGAGGGGGGUAGAAUUCCACGUGUAGCAGUGAAAUGCGUAGAGAUGUGGAGGAAUACCGAUGGCGAAGGCAGCCCCCUGGGCCAAUACUGACGCUCAUGCACGAAAGCGUGGGGAGCAAACAGGAUUAGAUACCCUGGUAGUCCACGCCCUAAACGAUGUCAACUAGUUGUUGGGGAUUCAUUUCCUUAGUAACGUAGCUAACGCGUGAAGUUGACCGCCUGGGGAGUACGGUCGCAAGAUUAAAACUCAAAGGAAUUGACGGGGUCAUAGCUGUUUCC
rnacentral:rRNA from 1 species